ACGGAGGAUGCGAGCGUUAUCCGGAUUUAUUGGGUUUAAAGGGUGCGUAGGCGGAUUAAUAAGUCAGUGGUGAAAACCUGCAGCUUAACUGUAGAACUGCCAUUGAUACUGUUAGUCUUGAGUACGGUCAAGGUAGGCGGAAUGUGUAAUGUGGCGGUGUACUGGGUCGAUAUUGCAGAUGAGACAGGUAGCGGGGGGGGACUACCAGGAUCAUAUUCAUGGUGGUCCGCCAGAGCGUCUGCAGGGAGGAG
rnacentral:rRNA from 1 species